CUGAUGGCGAGUGGCGAACGGGUGAGUAAUGCAUCGGAACGUGCCCAGUCGUGGGGGAUAACGCAGCGAAAGCUGUGCUAAUACCGCAUACGAUCUAUGGAUGAAAGCGGGGGACCUUCGGGCCUCGCGCGAUUGGAGCGGCCGAUGUUAGAUUAGGUAGUUGGUGGGGUAAAGGCUCACCAAGCCGACGAUCUAUAGCUGGUCUGAGAGGACGACCAGCCACACUGGAACUGAGACACGGCCCAGACUCC
rnacentral:rRNA from 1 species